CUUUAUAUUAGAAUUGGGCAUGAUCCUUUUCUAUUGCUUUUCUUAUUUUUUAAGGGAAAUGAGUUUUUCUGUAUUUAUGGGAGUGAGGGUUAGGUCAAGAUAGGUUUUCUAGCUUCCUGGCUCUAUCCCUCCAUCUUUUUCUGUUUUUGCAAAGUAAUAAAAAACAUCAUAUUUUCUGAGAUCUGACAUUCUGAUCUCCUCCUCCUCUUUUUUUUCUGUGCUGUCUCUUUUUUCUGCACCAUUUGUUCCUGUUCUCCUCAUUGUGGAGUUUGUGUUGAAAGUAGCUUUGGUGUGCUCAUUUUGAGGGCUUCGAGACUGCUCCAUCAUAGUCAGAAUAGCGCAUCAUGGUCCCCUUGUGCUGCCCAUGGAUUGGAUCCGACCAUUCUCAGGUUGGACCUAUGUCAGCGAACAUGGGUCAGCAAUGUUGUUUUCUUUCCUGUCCUCUGGUUUGUUGGGAUCCCUCUCUUUCCUCCUACACAGAUCCUUAACCACACAGGUUCUGUAGCUAUUUGUGAUUUUCCCCACGCACUCCUUCUGUGAGCUUUGUUGGGAUAGCUUGUCACAUAUUUUGUUGUAGAAGUUCGAGGUCUUUGAUUUUGGUACAUUGGUCUGUUUUUAUGGGGGAAUUUGGGGAGAUUAAAAUGUUGUGCUUCAUAAUCACUCCAGAAUCCUUGCUAUAAUUAUUUUCAAAGGAUUAUUAAAAAAAAGAGUUUACUGAUGCUUCACCUCUGAUGCCAGUCGAGACCUUUCUGGAGAGGAUGGUUCUCUCCCAGUUUGGUGGCUAGACAGGGCCAUGUAAUUAUCUAUGCCUUUUUGUAUAGGACCCCCUACUCCUCCCCGCUAAAAAGAAACCCUGAUCUGGUUCCUUCACAUCUUGUAUUUUCUCUGUUAUGGUUUGAAUUGUGUUCCUUCAAAAUUCGUGUGUUGAAGUCCUAACCCCCAGGACCUCAGAAUGCGACUGUAUUUGGAGAUAGAAUCUUUAAAGGGGUCGUUAGGUUGAAUGAGGUUACAUGGAUGAGCCCUUAUAUUUGACUGGCAUCCUUAUAGGAAGAAGAGGUUCAGACACAGAGAGGUACAGAGGGGAGACCGUGUGAGGACACAGGGAGAAGACGGCCAUCUAUAAGCCAAGGAGAGAGGCCUCAGAAGGAAACCACCCCUGCUGACACCUUGAUCUCAGCCUUCCGGCCUCCAGAACUGGGAGAAAAUGCAUUUCUAGUUUCACUCCCAAGGCUUUCUGGAGAGGGAGCAUGGUAGAAAGGAAGGAAGCUUUGUUGUCACAGAGAGGUGGGUUCAAACCUUAUGUCUUCUGCUCACUUGUGGGAUGUUGGGUGAGGCACCUAACAUCUCUGAGCCUUUGCAAUUGUGAAAUGAUGUCCCCCCCCUUUUUUUUUGGUGAGGAAGAUUGUCCCUGAGCUAACAUCCAUGCCAGUUUUCCUCUACUUUGUAUAUGGGACACCACCACAGCGUGGCCUGAUGAGCGGUGUGUAGGUCCACGCCCGGGAUCCGAACCUGUGAACCCCAGGCUGCUGACGCAGAGAAUGCAAACAUAGCCACUAAGCUACCGGGCCAGCCCCUGAUGUCCCUCUUGAAGGAUGGGCAUGAGGCUUAUGUGAGAUAAAGCUGUAAUUUGCUUCUUGGCACAUUACAGGCACCAAAUAAAUGCUACUUUCCAUUUUUUUUCUUCUUUCUCCCAACCAUAGUUAGCCAGAAAAAAACAAUUAUGGACUAAAGGAAAUUCCAGUGAAUUGAAUAUAUGUUUAGAUUUGUCUAAAUUAGAAACAUUACUCGCUGCACUCCUAAAUAAAUGUCAUCAGCAGGAGUUCAAAGAGAUGCUGCUUCCAGACUUGGGACGCACACCGCUAAGCUGUUCUGCUCACAGCUGUCGGAGCAUGGUUCUCUCUGCAAAAACAGGCAGUUUCAACAAUUCUAUACGCAUUGUAUUUAUUCAGCAAAUGGCAAGCUGGUGUCCCACCUAGUGGUCAGCGGGAGGUAGCCCAUUUCAAAAAGAGAUGGGAAGACAUUUCAUAUUAUCUUCUGUGGGGCAGAAGCCUGAAGAACUGUUAUCGGUUCAUCCUUUUCUCUCCACUUACAGAGGCCCGGGCAAGGUAAGGCCAAGGUGUGAGAUAUGGCAGUGGGUGUAGAGUACGUGCACGCAGCAUGGCAAUGGUGGGGCUGGUUCCACUUGAGAGAGAAAGAAAGAGUCAUUAGAUAAGAGGCGUACCUUUGAAUAGCUUCUUAAAAUAUGAAACAUUUCAAAUAUGCAGAAAAGUUCAUUACAAUCUUAACACAUUUACCACUCAGCUCUAUUGAGUUCUAACAUUUUGUCACACUUGCAUUCUAUUUCAGAAACAAAACAUCGCAAAUGCUGGCAAAGCUCCCCAUCUACCCUUCCACGGUCCCUUUCUCUUACCUGUCCCCAUCCAGAGGGAACCACCAUCUCCAGUUUGAUGUUUACCUUUAAGGGCAUUUAAAAAUUCUGUGAACAUUCCAUGCGUGAAUCCAUGUUUUCAAAGUUUUUUAUUGAUGUCAUAUUGUAUGUAUUUUUUCUAUCAUAAACAAAUAAUGCAGUAACUCUCUUGUACCAUUUUCCCUGUGGAAUAUCUGCAAGAGCUUUUCUAUUGUUUUCCUAGAAGCAGAACUGCUGGAUCGAAGAGCAAGUAUUUUCUUUCCAGUGAUUGUACCAAAUUUCCCUUCAAAUACUCGUGUGUAAUUUUGGACGAUGACGAAUAAGGCUGCUGUGAACAUUCUGGAACAUGUCUUUUGGUGCACACGGAGAGGAAAUGCUAGGCCCUCGGGCAAGCACAUGUUCAUCUUUAGUCAUGUACUUAGUACUUUCGUACGGUUUAGUCCUUCUUGUGCUGAUGCUGUGGGUGCCCACAGAUCCUCCCUCCACGACCAAACACUGGUUCCCCACCUGUCAGGACGUUGGCUGCUGAUGGCUCUCAGCUGAGACCCCUCCCCAGGCACUGCACUCAGCUGAAGGGAGCUGCCUGGCCAGACAAUGUACCCCUAGCCUGGUGGCAGCCCAGGUGCAAUGACUGAUGGAUGUGAGGAUAGAAAAGUCCAGCCCCCAUGUUAAUUGUGGACAUCUGUGAAGGGCCAUCCCAGCUUCAGAGCUCCCCAAGGGAUCUCCUGGGGUCUCCAUUACAAUGUUGAAUAGAAACAGUGAGGGUGAACCCCUGUGCCUUGUUACCAAUGUGAAGGGGAAAGCAACCUUGAAUUCUUG
ensembl:lncRNA